rnacentral:rRNA from 1 species
AACGAACGCUGGCGGCAUGCCUAACACAUGCAAGUCGAACGAGACCUUCGGGUCUAGUGGCGCACGGGUGCGUAACGCGUGGGAACCUGCCCUUAGGUUCGGAAUAACUCCCCGAAAGGGGUGCUAAUACCGGAUAAUGUCUUCGGACCAAAGAUUUAUCGCCUUUGGAUGGGCCCGCGUUGGAUUAGCUAGUUGGUAGGGUAAAAGCCUACCAAGGCGACGAUCCAUAGCUGGUCGGAGAGGAUGAUCAGCCACACUGGGACUGAGACACGGCCCAGACUCCUACGCGAGGCAGCAGUGUGUAAUAUUGGACGAUGGGCGAAAGCCUGAUCCAGCAAUGCCGCGUGAGUGAUGAAGGCCUUAGGGUUGUAAAGCUCUUUUACCCGGGAUGAUAAUGACGGUACCGGGAGAAUAAGCUCCGGCUAACUCCGUG